rnacentral:rRNA from 1 species
UACGUAGGGCGCAAGCGUUAUCCGGAAUUAUUGGGCGUAAAGAGCUCGUAGGCGGUUUGUCGCGUCUGCUGUGAAAGACCGGGGCUCAACUCCGGUUCUGCAGUGGGUACGGGCAGACUAGAGUGAUGUAGGGGAGACUGGAAUUCCUGGUGUAGCGGUGAAAUGCGCAGAUAUCAGGAGGAACACCGAUGGCGAAGGCAGGUCUCUGGGCAUUAACUGACGCUGAGGAGCGAAAAAGCAUGGGGGAGCGAACAGG